UACGUAGGGUGCAAGCGUUAAUCGGAAUUACUGGGCGUAAAGCGUGCGCAGGCGGUGAUGUAAGACAGAUGUGAAAUCCCCCGGGCUCAACCUGGGAACUGCAUUUGUGACUGCAUCGCUGGAGUGCGGCAGAGGGGGAUGGAAUUCCGCGUGUAGCAGUGAAAUGCGUAGAUAUGCGGAGGAACACCGAUGGCGAAGGCAAUCCCCUGGGCCUGCACUGACGCUCAUGCACGAAAGCGUGGGGAGCAAACAGGAU
rnacentral:rRNA from 1 species